UCAGCAGCCGCGGUAAUACGUAGAGGGCGAGCGUUGUCCGGAAUUACUGGGCGUAAAGGGUACGCAGGCGGAUAUAUAAGUCAAAUGUGAAAACCAACGGCUCAACCGUUGAGUUGCAUUUGAAACUGUAUAUCUUGAGUGCAGGAGAMGAGAGCGGAAUUCCUGGUGUAGCGGUGGAAUGCGUAGAUAUCAGGAAGAACACCAGUGGCGAAGGCGGCUCUCUGGCCUGCAACUGACGCUGAGGUACGAAAGCUGGGGGAGCGAACGGGAUUAGAUACCCCGGUAGUCCCAGCCGUAAACGAUGGACACUAGGUGUUGGGGGUUCGAAUCCUUCAGUGCCGGAGUUAACGCGAUAAGUGUCCGCCUGGGGAAUACGGUCGC
rnacentral:rRNA from 1 species